rnacentral:misc_RNA from 1 species
GUGAAUCAUCGAAUUUUUGAACGCAACUUGCGCUUCCUGGCAUCCCGGGGAGUAUGCCUGUUUGAGGGUCAUUAUUAAUACAAACUCGGUUUAGUUACAAAUUGCGAUGUUUACGGAGUGUGGGCUAUCUUUACAUUUUUGGUUAAGAGGCUUAAAAUUGACCUUUUUUGCGCAUUUUUAAGUUUACAUAAAUUUUUUUUCUUCGUCUAUUCUUAAUGUCA